rnacentral:misc_RNA from 1 species
GAUGAAGAACGUAGCGAAAUGCGAUAACUAAUGUGAAUUGCAGAAUUCAGUGAAUCAUCGAAUCUUUGAACGCACAUUGCGCCCGCCAGUAUUCUGGCGGGCAUGCCUGUCUGAGCGUCAUUUCAACCCUCAUGCCCCUAGGGCGUGGUGUUGGGGAUCGGCCAAAGCCCGCGAGGGACGGCCGGCCCCUAAAUCUAGUGGCGGACCCGUCGUGGCCUCCUCUGCGAAGUAGUGAUAUUCCGCAUCGGAGAGCGAUGAGCCCCUGCCGUUAAACCCCCAACUUUCCAAGGUUGACCUCAGAUCAGGUAGGAAUACCCGCUGAACUUAAGCAUAUCAAUAAGCGGAGGA